ACUCUAGAAGACUAGAGGCAUCCUUAUGUGUUUUGACUAUGUUGUAACCUGCUACGAGCCACAAGGAGAGGCAAGUAAAAAAAUAAAAUUAUUGUCAUCAUCAUCAUCAUCAUCAUCAUCAUCAUCAAAGAGCAUUGAUUGGUGCAAUGGGAAACAAAAAAGAGUAAGAAAGUCUUAUCCAUUUUACAGCUGCCACAAAAAGAAGACUGAGAAAGGCAUUUAUCAACAGAGUGCAGGGUGAAGGAUUUUCUUUUUGACAACCUUAUUCUUCUACAAUUCUUCUACAAAGGGAGUCUUUCUGGACCUUUAAAUUAAACUCUGUAUUCCGCAAAGGGCUGAAUGAUAGGAUUGAUUUCACCUGUUAUCUUUAGUGAGUAGAGUAUUUCAGUUCACCAUACAAGCCAUAGGGCACUUGCAACUUUGAAAAAACACAGAGCCCUGCAAGAGUAACAAUGUAAAUUGACUACAUUGAAAGGCCUUGAACUGAAGCAGGACCAAGCAAGUAAUUAAGAUUAAAGAGACAGCAAUAUAUCCGCAACAUACCGUAGAAGAUUCUGAGAAUCACAGUAAGAAGAAAAUUGCCAUACAUCAAAAGACUGUUUAAGAUCUCACAUAAAUAUCAACAACCUGAAGAAGGACUUCCCGAAAUGAGGCAGUGUACCGGGAUUACUUGUUGUUGCAUAGUUUUGUUUAUACACACACAACAGCUGUGGACUGUUUUCCGUUGAGUUUGAUGUAUGCUUUACUUUAUAUGUUACAUAAUAAGGUUGUAUAAUUGUAUAUAUACCAUAUUUGUGGACUGUUUUCGGUUGGAGAUUUAUGUGUGUUUUGCUUUAUAUGUUUCAUAAUAAGAUAGUACCCAGUUGGGACUGUAAAGAAAAUACUCAAUAAUACUAGCAUACCAUAAUACACACGUUAAAACCUACAUGAGAGUAUAUACAUUUAAGUUGUUUUUUUUAAUAUAUGUAUACCAUUCUUAUAGCAAAACAGAGACUAUCCCUUGAUGUACCAUCACUUCUGUCUUGCCAGUGUGUGAAGACGGAGAGAGGAGUCUAUUUUCAGGAGUUGUGUGUUCCCCUACUGAUUGAAGAAAGCAGCGGGAAGCAGUGGAAAAUGGAAGAAGAUGGGGAAAUGAUGUGGAAUUGCUGCCCAUCCCCAAAGAUGGAUCUUGUUGGGGUAAAUCAGGUCCCCACUCUUAAGAAUGCUUUCCCCUGCUAGCCUCCCCUUCCCCCCUUUCCUUCUUCCCAUGGGAUAGUCCCUAGAGAAGUCAUGUGAAAUCUCCCACCCUAUUCUUGGAGGAAAUCUGUCUCUCUUUUUUUACAUCAUUCAUCACCUAUUUCCUAUUCCUCUCUCAACAACCUGUUGUGGCAGAAAAGGGGUUGUUAUUGGGAAAUAAUCAAUUUCAUCACACGGAAGUCAAUUUCAUCACAUGGGGGUCACAGAUAAACUCAGAGAGAACAGCCAAGUCUAAAAACAGGGCUGGUGACACCACAAUCCUUGCUAAUCAAAAGUCCUGGAGUUUUACGUAUGCCUCCAAGACUUGGAUCCAGUGCCCCAAACAAAUUCAAGCACCCGAUAUCCUUAAGAUAAGCAAGGUUAGACUUUAUUAGUAUUUGGAUGGGAUACCAUCUGGGAGUGCCUAGGUUCUCCAGGUAGGAUUAAGAAAGAAUUCUUCCUGAAACUUUGGAAAGUGACCACUGUCCAAGUUGACAAUAAUGGGUGGAUAGACCAAUGUUCUGAUUCAGAAUAAGUUCCUACAAUAUUAUGAUGUUGAGAUAUUAUUAUUAUUAUUAUUUGUAUUUAUAUAUUGCCUUUUCUCUCCACAAAGGAGUCUUAAAACUGCUAUAUUGAGUUAUGUUGAAUAUAAAGGCUGUAGAGACAACUGAAAUUUUAAUAAAGAUUGGCCUGAUGGCUUU